UGCCAGACUCCUACGGGAGGCAGCAGUGGGGGAUAUUGCACAAUGGGGGGAACCCUGAUGCAGCGACGCCGCGUGGGUGAAGGAGCGUUUCGGCGCGUAAAGCCCUAUCGGCAGGGAAGAAGAUGACGGUACCUGACCAAGAAGCCCCGGCUAACUACGUGCCAGCAGCCGCGGUAAUACGUAGGGGGCAAGCGUUAUCCGGAUUUACUGGGUGUAAAGGGGGCGCAGACGGCAAUGCAAGCCAGGAGUGAAAGCCCGGGGCCCAACCCCGGGACUGCUCUGGAAACUGCGUCGCUGGAGUACGGGAGGGGCAGGCGGAAUUCCUGGUGUAGCGGUGAAAUGCGUAGAUAUUAGGAGGAACACCAGUGGCGAAGGCGUCUUACUGGACCGAAACUGACGUUGAGGCUCGAAAGCGUGGGGAGCAAACAGGAUUAGAUACCCGUGUACUC
rnacentral:rRNA from 1 species